AAUGUAAGGAAGUGUGUGG
rnacentral:ncRNA from 2 species